rnacentral:rRNA from 1 species
UACGUAGGGCGCAAGCGUUGUCCGGAUUUAUUGGGCGUAAAGAGCUCGUAGGCGGUCUGUCGCGUCGGCUGUGAAAACCCGAGGCUCAACCUCGGGCCUGCAGUCGAUACGGGCAGACUAGAGUGUGGUAGGGGGAGACUGGAAUUCCUGGUGUAGCGGUGGAAUGCGCAGAUAUCAGGAGGAACACCGGUGGCGAAGGCGGGGUCUCUGGGCAGUAACUGACGCUGGAGGAGCGAAAGCGUGGGGGAGCGAACAGG